UACGUAGGGUGCGAGCGUUGUCCGGAAUUACUGGGCGUAAAGAGCUCGUAGGUGGUUUGUCGCGUUGUCCGUGAAAACUCACAACUCAAUUGUGGGCGUGCGGGCGAUACGGGCAGACUGGAGUACUGCAGGGGAGACUGGAAUUCCUGGUGUAGCGGUGGAAUGCGCAGAUAUCAGGAGGAACACCAGUUGCGAAGGCAGGCUC
rnacentral:rRNA from 1 species